UUUUAUCCAUGUCAUACACUUUUUUUACAAUUAUAUGUAUUUGUUAGUUUUAUAAAAUAUGAAUACACGUUCGACCAGACGAAAACUAUCCGAUGAAAGCUGUGAAUCCCCAAUACCAACGAAGAAGCCAAAAAUCACGUGUAACAUUGAUAAUUUGCCUGAAGAAAUUUUGUUGGUGAUUUUUUCUCAUUUACCAAAACGCGAUCUGUACCUAAACGUGAAAGAAGUCUGCACCCAAUGGGCCAGACUUAGCAACGACCAGUCAUUAUGGAAACGGAUCUUUGCCGAGGACAACAUACCAUCACGUAUGUUACAAGAUUGGAUAAGAAUGACACCCGACCUAAGAGAAUUAUCUUUAAGGAACAGAAACGACAUCAACACAUUAACGCUCGUGAUAUCCAGGCACUGCAAAAAUCUCGAACGUUUAUGCAUAAAAAGUUGUAGGGGUUCAAGUAAAACGGAUAUAAUAAAAAGUCGAGGUCUGUGUAAUACGGUGCGUCGCUUUGCUGCCCAUGGAUAAUCCAGAACUUCAGGUGUGGUAUCAGGGUCCACUUAAUCAGAGGCAGAUUAACACCAUCAACCAAUUAAAUGCAGCGUGUAGUUACUAGAAAAUUUCUUAGUUUAAUAAAAUCUACAUAUCCUUAUAUCGUUUUCUUAUUCAGCCAAUUGCAACUAACUGUUACCUUGAAGAAUAAUAAAAUUCGUGAUACAGCUCAUGCAUCGGCGCCAGUGGGAUGAAUACAUUCUUCUGAGGGACAACCUACAGAUUCAAGGAAAAUAUCACAAGCUCAGACGUCAGAAGAUGAUGCACGCCAUUAUAUAGGAUCCUUAAAUUGUCUUCCCUGUAUUUAUAUAUCUUUUAUUCGUUAAAGAUGUA